CCUACGGGCCGCACCAGUGGGGAAUAUUGGACAAUGGGCGAAAGCCUGAUCCAGCAAUGCCGCGUGUGUGAAGAAGGUCUUCGGAUAGUAAAGCACUUUCGACGGGGACGAUGAUGACGAUACCCGUAGAAGAAGCCCCGGCUAACUUCGUGCCAGCAGCCGCGGUAAUACGAAGGGGGCUAGCGUUGCUCGGAAUGACUGGGCGUAAAGGGCGCGUAGGCGGUUUAUGCAGUCAGAUGUGAAAUCCCCGGGCUUAACCUGGGAACUGCAUUUGAGACGCAUAGACUAGAGGUCGAAAGAGGGUUGUGGAAUUCCCAGUGUAGAGGUGAAAUUCGUAGAUAUUGGGAAGAACACCGGUGGCGAAGGCGGCAACCUGGCUCGAUACUGACGCUGAGGCGCGAAAGCGUGGGGAGCGAACAGGAUUAGAUACCCCUGUAGUC
rnacentral:rRNA from 1 species